rnacentral:lncRNA from 1 species
CAUAAAUGAACAAUUCAAGAAAACUCAGUAGAGACUUAAAGUAGUCACAUGUUCUUCCUAGCUAUGAUAUAACAGAAAUAUUUUCUUAAAGUUGUAGUCAGUAACCUGUAGCUUAUCUACAUUGUAGUUAAUGGUUGGGAAAUAUUUUACUUCUCUGGACUUUUUAUGCUAUCUUCUAUAAAAUUUGCUUUUUUUCACUACAAUAGAUACCUGAAGUUUACGAGU